rnacentral:tRNA from 1 species
UGCAGCGUAGCUUAACAGCAGAGCACCUGGCUCAUAACCAGGGGGGUAUGGGUGCAAAUCCCAUCGCUGCUACCA